GGCGACCCUCGUACGGAAAGGGGGUCCUGCCCCUUACCCAGGAGGAAGGAAUACCGCACAGAGAGGCCAAGGAGAAUCUGGACCGGCCUUGCUGGGUUUCUGCACUCAGUCUGCUAGUAUUAGAUCACACUCUUUGUCCAAUCAGUUACUAUGAGGUUGGCCAUGCUUCAAUCAUCUCUCUCCAAUGAAAUCUCUACAAAACGCCCAAGAGAACUUCUAGAUAGCCUAAUAGGUAGAUGUUUCUGGAGGGUGGUACACCUGGGAAGGGCAUAGAGCUCUGCGUCCCCUCUCCAUCUCACCCUGUGCACCACUUCGUCUGUAUCCUUGGUAAUAUCCUUUAUAAUAAACCAGUAAACCUAAGUAAAUGUUUUGUGAGCCAUUCUAGCAAAUUAAUGAAACCCGAAAAGGAGGUCCUGGGAACUGCAGCUUGAAGCCCGUCAUUGAGAAGUUCUGGAGGCCCUGACUUGUGUGACUGGUGUCUGAAGUAGGGGUAGUCUUCUGGGACUGAGCCCUCAGCCCGUGGAAUCUGACACUGUUUCCAGGUAGUUAGUGUCCGGAUUGAAUUGGAUGGGAAGAUACCCAGCUGGUGUUGGCUGCAGAGUUGAUUGCCUGCUUAUUGGUAGAGAGAAAUCCCCACGCAUCUGGUCACAGAAGUCUUCCGUAUAGAUUGUUGUCAGGAGGUGUGGCGUUUGGAAGUCUGCUCCGUGGGAUCUUUAGCAGAACCUUGAGUUGCAGAUACAUUUGACCCUCGAACAACACGAGCUUGAACUUCAUGGAUCUCCUUAUACGCAGAUAUUAAAAAAUAAAUGCAGUUGGCCCUCCUUAUCUGCAGGUUCCAAAUCUGCAACCCAAUGCAGAGAAUGAAAAUAACGAUAUUUGAGGGUUGAGAAUAUACCGCGUAUGUGGAGAACUGACUUCCUAGCUGCUGGUUCUGCAAGGCUCUCUGGGAGACAAGCAUGUUCAGAUUGUGGUGUAUGUGGGGGUCCUGGGACCAAUCUCCAAUGAAUACCAGGGGAUGACUGUAUAUUGUACCUCAUCAGACACUCCCAGAACCUGAAGUGAGGAGGCACAAUGAACAACUCCCCUAAGUUUUUGCUACUUUAAAAAUUCUUAUUGAGUAAAUACCUACUAAGUAAAUAGUAUAGAAUAAUAAUAAUAGUACCAAUAAUA